rnacentral:rRNA from 1 species
CAGGCCUAACACAUGCAAGUCGAACGGUGGCAGCAAUGUCAUAGUGGCGCACGGGUGCGUAACACGUAGCUAACCUACCCAGAACUGGGGGAUAGCCCGCCGAAAGGCGGAUUAACACCGCAUAACAUCUACUGGUGGCAUCACUAGUUGAUUAAAUCUACGGAGGUUCUGGAUGGGGCUGCGGGUCAUUAGCUAGUUGGUAAGGUAACGGCUUACCAAGGCGACGAUGACUAGGGGAGCUGAGAGGCUGGUCCCCCACGCGGGCACUGAGAUACGGGCCCGACUCCUACGGGAGGCAGCAGUAGGGAAUAUUGGGCAAUGGGCGAGAGCCUGACCCAGCCAUGCCGCGUGCAGGAAGAAGGCUUUCUGAGUCGUAAACUGCUUUUGAUAGGGAAGAAUAAGCACUACGUGUAGUGUGAUGACGGUACCUACAGAAUAAGCACCGGCUAACUCCGUGCCAGCAGCCGCGGUAAU